AUUGAACGCUGGCGGAAUGCUUUACACAUGCAAGUCGAACGGUAGAGGGGGCAACCCCUCGAGAGUGGCGAACGGGUGAGUAAUAUAUCGGAACGUGCCCAGUCGUGGGGGAUAACGUAGCGAAAGUUACGCUAAUACCGCAUACGAGCUAAGGAUGAAAGCGGGGGAUCGCAAGACCUCGCGCGAUUGGAGCGGCCGAUAUCAGAUUAGGUAGUUGGAGGGGUAAAGGCUCACCAAGCCAACGAUCUGUAGCUGGUCUGAGAGGACGACCGGCCAAACGGGAAGUGAGACACGGUCCAGACUCCUACGGGAGGCAGCAGUGGGGAAUUUUGGACAAUGGACGCAAGUCUGAUCCAGCCAUUCCGCGUGCAGGAUGAAGGCCCUCGGGUUGUAAACUGCUUUUGUACGGAACGAAAAGGUCUCUCUUAAUACGGGGGACUCAUGACGGUACCGUAAGAAUAAGCACCGGCUAACUACGUGCCAGCCGCCGCAGUAAAAC
rnacentral:rRNA from 1 species